rnacentral:rRNA from 1 species
GAUGAACGCUGGCGGCGUGCUUAACACAUGCAAGUCGAACGGAAAGGCUCCUGCUUGCAGGGGCACUCGAGUGGCGAACGGGUGAGUAACACGUGGGUGAUCUGCCCUGCACUUCGGGAUAAGCCUGGGAAACUGGGUCUAAUACCGGAUAGGACCAUCGUUUAGUGUCGGUGGUGGAAAGUUUUUUCGGUGUGGGAUGAGCUCGCGGCCUAUCAGCUUGUUGGUGGGGUAAUGGCCUACCAAGGCGUCGACGGGUAGCCGGCCUGAGAGGGUGUACGGCCACAUUGGGACUGAGAUACGGCCCAGACUCCUACGGGAGGCAGCAGUGGGGAAUAUUGCACAAUGGGCGCAAGCCUGAUGCAGCGACGCCGCGUGGGGGAUGACGGCCUUCGGGUUGUAAACUCCUUUCGCCAGGGACGAAGCGAAAGUGACGGUACCUGGAGAAGAAGCACCGGCUAACUACGUG